rnacentral:rRNA from 1 species
UGGAGCAUGUGGUUUAAUUCGAAGCAACGCGAAGAACCUUUACCAGGUUCUUGACAUCCGAUGCUAUUUCUAGAGAUAGAAAGUUACUUCGGUACAUCGGUGACAGGUGGUGCAUGGUUGUCGUCAGCUCGUGUCGUGAGAUGUUGGGUUAAGUCCCGCAACGAGCGCAACCCCUAUUGUUAGUUGCCAUCAUUCAGUUGGGCACUCUAGCGAGACUGCCGGUAAUAAACCGGAGGAAGGUGGGAUGACGUCAAAUCAUCAUGCCCCUUAUGUUCUGGGCUACACACGUGCUACAAUGGCCGGUACAGACGGACGCAAAGCCGCGAGGUGGAGCAAAUCCUAAAAAGCCGGUCUCAGUUCGGAUUGCAGGCUGCAAUUCGCCUGCAUGAAGUCGGAAUCGCUAGUAAUCGCAGGUCAGCAUACUGCGGUGAAUACGUUCCCGGGCCUU